AAAAAUGUUUGGUCUCGUGCCAAAUCAACACCUGUGUGCACUAUUGCCUGUAUUUGGUAGUCUAGGAGGGGCGACCCGCAAGGGCCUGCCCAUAUACUCCGUGACCCAGUCAACUUUUAGUUGGUUGGUGUCGGGCUACCGCCAUUUUGAAAAACCUUUUGUUUGUUUUGUUUUUGUCUGAACGAAGAGUUAAUCUUCAUUGAUUAAUGAUUUGAAUA
rnacentral:misc_RNA from 1 species